UACGUAGGGUGCGAGCGUUGCCCGGAUUUAUUGGGCGUAAAGGGCGCGUAGGCGGCCACGCACGUCCGUUGUGAAAUCGCCCGGCUCAACUGGGCGGGGUCAGCGGAUACGGCGCGGCUGGAGCAAGCUAGGGGGCAAUGGAAUUCCCGGUGUAGUGGUGGAAUGCGUAGAUAUCGGGAGGAACACCAGUGGCGAAGGCGACUUCCUGGCCUGUUCUUGACGCUGAGGCGCGAAAGCUAGGGUAGCAAACGGG
rnacentral:rRNA from 1 species